GUUGAACGCUGGCGGCAGGCUUAACACAUGCAAGUCGAGCGGAGAGAGGUAGCUUGCUACCGAUCUUAGCGGCGGACGGGUGAGUAAUGCUUAGGAAUCUGCCUAUUAGUGGGGGACAACAUUUCGAAAGGAAUGCUAAUACCGCAUACGUCCUACGGGAGAAAGCAGGGGAUCUUCGGACCUUGCGCUAAUAGAUGAGCCUAAGUCGGAUUAGCUAGUUGGUGGGGUAAAGGCCUACCAAGGCGACGAUCUGUAGCGGGUCUGAGAGGAUGAUCCGCCACACUGGGACUGAGACACGGCCCGGAAUCCUACGGGAGGCAGCAGUGGGGAAUAUUGGACAAUGGGCGAAAGCCUGAUCCAGCCAUGCCGCGUGUGUGAAGAAGGUCUUCGGAUUGUAAAGCACUUUAAGUUGGGAGGAAGGGCAGUAAGCUAAUACCUUGCUGUUUUGACGUUACCGACAGAAUAAGCACCGGCUAACUCUGUGCCAGCCGCCGCAGUAAGAC
rnacentral:rRNA from 1 species